rnacentral:rRNA from 1 species
ACGACUCUCGGCAACGGAUAUCUCGGCUCUCGCAUCGAUGAAGAACGUAGCGAAAUGCGAUACCUGGUGUGAAUUGCAGAAUCCCGCGAACCAUCGAGUCUUUGAACGCAAGUUGCGCCCGAGGCCACCCGGUCGAGGGCACGCCUGCCUGGGCGUCACGC